GCCCUGGUGGCUCAGUUGGUUGGGUGUCCGACUUCAGCUCAGGUCAUGAUCUCACGGCUUGUGGGUUCGAGCCCUGCUUAGGGCU
rnacentral:tRNA from 1 species